rnacentral:rRNA from 1 species
UUUAUGGAGAGUUUGAUCCUGGCUCAGGAUGAACGCUGGCGGCGUGCCUAAUACAUGCAAGUCGAGCGAACGGACGAGAAGCUUGCUUCUCUGAUGUUAGCGGCGGACGGGUGAGUAACACGUGGAUAACCUACCUAUAAGACUGGGAUAACUUCGGGAAACCGGAGCUAAUACCGGAUGAUAUUUUGAACCGCAUGGUUCAAAAGUGAAAGACGGUCUUGCUGUCACUUAUAGAUGGAUCCGCGCUGCAUUAGCUAGUUGGUAAGGUAACGGCUUACCAAGGCAACGAUGCAUAGCCGACCUGAGAGGGUGAUCGGCCACACUGGAACUGAGACACGGUCCAGACUCCUACGGGAGGCAGCAGUAGGGAAUCUUCCGCAAUGGGC